CGCCGCCCCCUCUCCCCCUCUUCCUCAUCGUUCUCCCCCGUGACGCCGCUGCCUCUCCUCCUCCUCCUCCACCUGCCAUCCGCAGCUCGACAAGGGCGGUCGGGUCGUCGGGGUGAGCAGCGACAGCGACGGGCAUCUGUGGUGUGGAGGAGCAGGAGUGGAUGAGGAUGACUGUUGUGGUGAGAAGAAGCAACGGUGGCAGCGCUCCCGUUGCGGUGGGGUGGGAAGAAGAUGGAUGAGGCCGGCAAUAGGCGACGCCGUUCCUUCCAAUAUCGAGGAUUUGGGGGUUGCGCAGGUUUGGAGCAGCCAACCAUGGAUUCGCUGUUUGAGUUGUCUCUGCAGCGCAUCGGGGCUGGAUAUCCUCGGCACCAGCGCACCGCCAACAUCCCUAGCUGUUUCUGUAAAUGUCCAAGGGGAAAGGCGCCAGGCCGCUAUCACCAGUGAGGAGAGCUCGCGUUCCCCGUCGAUCUCGCGCCUCUGCCGGCCGGAAUACGUCCGUGGGGAGGAAUGGUGGGGAGGAGCAGCAACGCAGGGUCUCAUGGUAGGAAGAAGAUGAGGGGAGGCAGCCGCCACCACCGCUCCUCCCCUUCGCGUUUCUCCUCCUCCCGCGUAUGAUCCAUGGCUUCAUGGCGGCGACUGGCUCAAGGUGGGGGAACGGUGGCUGGCUGAGGCGGGGGAGCGGCUGACGCGGCGUCGGCAGGGGAUGUGUGCAUCUUCUUUUGUUUGAAGAGAGUGUUCCUGUUCAAGAUGGACAAACACCUCCACUGGUGCAGUACUUUGGCACAUUGCUUACUCGAGGGAAGCUCAAUGCUUACGAAUCCCUUGAGUUAUCUUGACUUAUUGUCAAUCAGAACAAGAAGAACCUUUUGGAAAAUUGGUUGGCGGAAGACAAGUUGGAGUGCAGUGAAGAGCUUGGAGAUCUUGUAAAGAUGGUAGACAAUGAUCUGGCGUUAAAAAUAUACAUAAAGGCUAUGGCAACCCCUAAAGUCGUCACCGCUUUCGCUGAGAGGAGGGACUUUGACAAGAUCCUUAUAUACUCAAAGCAGGCACUCGUUGAGUUCUUUGGAACCCUUUCUAAAGAAUGGGCAUUAGAAUGCAUGAAGGACCUUCUACUGGUCAACCUGAGAGGAAAUCUUCAAAUUGUUGUGCAGGCCACCAAAGAAUCUGUGAGCAGCUUGGAGUUGAUGCUUGUAUUACACUGUUCGAACAAUUUAAAUCAUACGAGGGGCUCUACUUCUUAGGGUCCUAUUUGAGCUGAAGUUGACUUCAUCACAUGGAAACAGCGAGGAUCCAGAUAUCCAUUUCAAUUAUAUAGAAUCAGCUGCAAGGACUGGACAGAUUAAAGAAGUUGAGCGAGUCACAAGAGAGUCUAACUUUUACGAUGCUGAGAAGACAAAGAACUUUCUGACGGAAGCAAAACUACCUGAUGCCCAACCACUCAUAAUUGUCUGCGAUCGCUUUGGUUUUGUUCCAGAUCUUACUCACUAUCUGUACACAAACAAUAUGCUCCGGUAUCUCUGUAACUCUCAUAAAUUUACAGAAGGUGAACCCUGGAAAUGCUCCGUUGGUAGUGGGGCAGUUACUUGAUGACGAGUGCACGGAAGAUUUCAUUAAGGGUUUGAUUUUAUCUGUUCGUUCUCUUCUUCCUGUCGAGCCACUGGUUGAUGAAUGCGAGAAGAGGAACCGUCUACGUUUACUUACACAAUUUUUGGAGCACUUAGUGAGCGAGGGUAGCCAAGAUGUGCAUGUCCACAAUGCUCUAAUAAUCAUUGACAGCAACAGCAAUCCUGAGCAUUUCCUUACUACCAACCCGUUCUAGGACUCCCGUGUGGUGGGUAAAUACUGUGAAAAGAGGGAUCCUACUCUUGCUGUUGUUGCUUACAGACGUGGACAGUGCGAUGAAGAACUUGUCAAUGUUACCAACAAGAACUUGCUGUUCAAGCUCCAAGCUAGGUAUGUGGUUGAAAGAAUGGACGGCGAUCUGUGGGAUAAAGUUCUACAGCGUGAUAACGAAUAUAGAAGGCAGUUCAUUGACCAAGUGGUUUCUACUGCAUUGCCCGAAAGCAAGAGUCCUGAGCAAGUUUCUGCUGCUGUUAAGGCUUUCAUGACAGCUGACCUCCCUCAUGAACCGAUCGAACUUCUUGCCUUCAGAAUUCCGCGUUCAGUGGAAACUUCAAUCUUCAGAAUCUGCUCAUCUUGAUAGCCAUCAAGGCGGACUCAUCUAGGGUCAUGGAGUAUGUUAACUGACUAGACAACUUUGAUGGUCCUGCCAUUGGAGAAGUAGCAGUUGAAGCACAACUAUAUGAGGAGGCUUUUGCCAUAUACAAGAAGUUCAACUUAAAUGUGCAGGUUGUCGAUGUUCUGUUGGAUAACAUCUGAAGCAUAGAAAGGGAUGAAGAGUUUGCAUUCUGUGUCGAAGAAGAUGCUGUCUGGAACCAGGUUGCAGAUGCUGUCCGGAACCAGGUUGCCAAGGCCCAGUUGCAUGAUAAAUAACCUUAAGGCCGCUUUCAUAACUUUGUAUGGAUUGUAAUGCAGUGCAAUAUGCAUUGCUUUGUAUGAAAAUGCUAAGUAUCAACCUCCGUUGUGUUCAAAUUCUUUCGAAGAUUUCAUUAUCAGUCUUUGGACCAUUAUUGCUUGCA